rnacentral:rRNA from 1 species
GUGGGGAAUCUUGCGCAAUGGGCGAAAGCCUGACGCAGCAACGCCGCGUGCGGGAUGAAGGCCUUCGGGUUGUAAACCGCUUUCAGCAGGGACGAAAUUGACGGUACCUGCAGAAGAAGCCCCGGCCAACUACGUGCCAGCAGCCGCGGUAACACGUAGGGGGCGAGCGUUGUCCGGAUUUAUUGGGCGUAAAGAGCUCGUAGGCGGUUCCGUCAGUCGGGUGUGAAAACUCUGGGCUCAACCCAGAGACGCCACUCGAUACUGCGGUGACUAGAGUCCGGUAGGGGAGUGUGGAAUUCCUGGUGUAGCGGUGAAAUGCGCAGAUAUCAGGAGGAACACCGACGGCGAAGGCAGCACUCUGGGCCGGUACUGACGCUGAGGAGCGAAAGCGUGGGGAGCGAACAGGAUUAGAUACCCGAGUAGUCC